GGGCGCAUGGUCUAGGGGUAUGAUACUCGCUUUGCAUGUGUCCUCUGAUACUUAUUGUGUAUUCGGAGUCUCUGCUGCUUGCGAGGGGUCCGGGGUUCAAAUCCCCGUACGUCCA